rnacentral:lncRNA from 1 species
AAUCAGGAGUCGGGUGUUGGAAAAGCGCCAGUUGUCACGAGAUUUGUAACCCAGGCUGAAAUGUCCUGUGCUUGCAUUUUGACCUUUGUCUAGCACCCACGGCUGGCCUGCCUUCUCUGCCUCAGCUCCUCCUGACUGGCGUCCUUGCGUUUGGAUCUGUGCUGGGAUUGGUUCUGAGACAACAUAAACACAGCGUGACUCAUGGAUUUGAAGAAGUGUAAGGGUGAAGAACGUGAAGUCAUCAAGGUUAGGAGAAGCAAUGCCAGCGAUGAACAUUGGACUUCUAAUCACGUUCAAGGAGAGAUGAUUCCAUUCAUUUUAUAAGGCUUUCACCCGAUUCUCGGUAUCGUGUCGGUGCGGGCAUGGGGCACUGACAAAUGGAGGUUCCACCGAGAUUUGAACUUUGAAUCCAGUGAUCCGAGAUCAGAAAGACAAGGUCUCCUGACAGGACGUCCUGGGAAGCCAGCAAAGAAGCAGGGACUUAUUGGGGAUGCUGCAGGAGUAUGCCAGCUGCCAGAGGUGGUUGGUGAGACUUGCUGAUCCUGGGAGCAUGAAGAUUCCACUCUCGUGGUUCGGGUCCCUGGAGUCAUUCCUGUGCCCUUGGAGGAAGAUAGAGGAUUCCCCCUCAUCUUUUGUCAUUUUGGCAUUGCUGCAGUCUUUGUUACCGCCACUGUGUGUCCCAUCCCACCGCGGCCUGCGCCCCAACCCUCUGUGCACUGCUACUUGCCAGAGAAGACUGGACUCCAGCAGUUACCCCUGCCCUGACUGGUGUUGUCAUUUUGCAGUCUGUAGCUUCACAGGAAUGCCAUGUGCAUGAAGCUGCUGUGGACUGGGUAACUCUGCCCUGGUUGUGCGGAUCUCAGACAUGGUUCCAUUGCCUGCCGAU